UACACGGAGUAGGUGGUCUCCAUAGUGACUUUUUAAAUUUCAUAUUUCUCUCAUAACCUUUAUGAGGUAAAAGAAUCUCCAGCCUUUCACCUUUGACAAGCGAUGAAAUGAAGGACAAAAAGGAGUUAUUAUGUAAAAUGAGGGCAAUUUUGCUGUAAAAUAUAAUAGGGCCGCAAUUCAGAAAAUUUUUGAAGCAUUUUGAUGGGCAUUGCUAUGGUUACAACUACAGGCGUAACAAGUCAGAUGCAAGAACAGCCUGGGAGCCUAGUGAGCACGGCCUCACCUCGCCAUCAAGCCACAUCCCUUCUAAUGCCUGGAAAGUUUCCCCCUGCAUUUGAGAAGAUGCUCAAGUUAUACUCCAUUUAGUCAAAAAUAACUACCAGGGAAUAGUCAUUGUCACAAACAGGAAUUUUGUACUGCAACCACAAGUUAAUGAAAGCCAAAGAAAAUUUUAUGGCUAAAGAAACAGAUCCAGAGAUUCUAGUUAAACAUUUUGUGAAGGCGGCAUGGUGACCAUAACCCAGGAGGUACCUGAGUAUGAAUCACUGGAUUACAUAGUGAAUUUCAAUCAAAUCUAAUUAAAAUACAUGUUUAUUGAAUACCCACUAUACGCCAAGCAUUGAGCUAGACACUGAAGACAGAGAUGUGAAUAUAAAGUGGAUGAAGGUAAGAAAGUUCAGGAGAUACAAGUAAUCUCUGUACUGCAUAUAAGCUGAGAAUUGUAUACAUGCCUCAAAAAGAAAACAAUUAUCCCAAAGGGAAAUUUUUCUUUUAUAAAAGAGGCAAAGAUUCUGCAUAUAUAUAUAUCAGAAAGAGCUGCUAUUUUGCAUAUUGGCAUGUCAUAGAUAUUUUUAUGCUACUUGCCUAGCAUUCAGUCCCUCUUCUGAUAAAAUAACUUGAAUUUUCCUAUGGGAAACCAUCCCUGCCCAAUUUUCAGUUCCCAUACUUCCAGUGGAGCUGAUUCUACCUCAUUCCUGAUUGGUCAGUAUCUACAUGUAACAAGUGUUAAAUAUUAGAUGUGACAUUAUCCUGCCUAAUCAGAACUUUAAAUAUACUGGCAAUAAUUGCUUCGGGGACUGGCAAGUGAACCAAGCCAAGAUAAUCAGGCCCAAUCAGCAAUAGUCAUCAGACUGUUGCUUGAGAAACCAGGAAAGGGCUGUUUUUUUUCCAUCAUAAGCCUCAACUCACAGGGUAAAAGCUUGCCUACAAUGAGCUAACACAGAGUGAAACAAACCUGACAGAUGGAAUGAGAGAGUAGGUUCUGAUUCCAUCAUAUGAACCCUUGGUUACAAGCCAAUAAAUUCUCCUUUUCUGCUUAAGUCAGCUUAAGUUGGGUUUUCUGUCACUUGCAACUAAAGGAUUUCUGAGCAAUUCCAAAGUUUCCCACCAAAAGUUGGCACCAGGCAUCAUAGUUGACAGCUUCCAUUCUUAUCACCCUAUAAUUCAUUCUUCGUACAGCAGCCAAGAUGAUCUUUUUAAAAAAAAAAAAAAAUGGGGCAUGUAACAUCUCUGCCUAAAACCUUUUUAUAGCUUCCCAUUGCACUUAGAAUAAACUCUAAACUAUUUAACCACUUUGAUAUGGCGCUCACCGGCCGCAAAACCUUGCCCACAGCCAGCACUCAUAGUCUGCACAAUAGUUUGUGCUGUGC